AUUGAACGCUGGCGGCAUGCCUUACACAUGCAAGUCGAACGGUAACAGGUCUUCGGAUGCUGACGAGUGGCGAACGGGUGAGUAAUACAUCGGAACGUGCCUAGUAGUGGGGGAUAACUACUCGAAAGAGUGGCUAAUACCGCAUGAGCUCUACGGAUGAAAGCAGGGGAUCGAAAGACCCUGUGGUACGAGAGAGGCCGAUGGCAGACUAGGUAGUUGGUGGGAUAAAAGCUUACCAAGCCGACGAUCUGUAGCUGGUCUGAGAGGACGAUCAGCCACACUGGGACUGAGACACGGCCCAGACUCCUACGGGAGGCAGCAGUGGGGAAUUUUGGUCAAUGGGCGCAAGCCUGAUCCAGCAAUGCCGCAUGCAGGAUGAAAGCCUUCGGGUUGUAAACUGCUUUUGUACGGAACGAAAAGCCCCGGGUUAAUACCCUGGGGUCAUGACGGUACCGUAAGAAUAAGCACCGGCUAACUACGUGCCAGCCGCCGCAGUAA
rnacentral:rRNA from 1 species